rnacentral:rRNA from 1 species
GAUGAACGCUGGCGGCGUGCCUAAUACAUGCAAGUCGAGCGAACAGACGAGGAGCUUGCUCCUCUGACGUUAGCGGCGGACGGGUGAGUAACACGUGGAUAACCUACCUAUAAGACUGGGAUAACUUCGGGAAACCGGAGCUAAUACCGGAUAACAUGUUGAACCGCAUGGUUCAACAGUGAAAGACGGUCUUGCUGUCACUUAUAGAUGGAUCCGCGCCGCAUUAGCUAGUUGGUAAGGUAACGGCUUACCAAGGCAACGAUGCGUAGCCGACCUGAGAGGGGAAUCGGCCAACGUGGAACGGAGACAGGGUCCAGACCCACAGGGGGGGGAGGAGUAGGGAAUUUUCCGAAAUGGGGGAAAGCCUGAGGGAGAAACCCCGCGGGAGUGAAGAAGGUCUUGGGAUCGAAAAACUUUGUUUUGAGGAAAAAAAAAAUUUGAAAGAAACUUGGCCCUCUUUGGCGGGACCUAAUAAAAAAGCCCCGGAGAAAUACGG